UACGGAGGGGGCUAGCGUUGUUCGGAAUUACUGGGCGUAAAGCGUGCGUAGGCGGUUGGCAAAGUCAGCUGUGAAAGCCCCGGGCUUAACCUGGGAAUGGCGGUUGAAACUAGUCGACUAGAAUCUGGCAGAGGGGGGUGGAAUUCACGUGUAGCAGUGAAAUGCGUAGAGAUGUGGAGGAACACGAUGGCGAAGGCAGCCCCCUGGGCUGAGAUUGACGCUCAGGCACGAAAGCGUGGGGAGCAAACAGG
rnacentral:rRNA from 1 species